rnacentral:rRNA from 1 species
GUAGGAGGCGAGCGUUAUCCGGAUUUACUGGGCGUAAAGAGAGCGUAGGGCGGUUCUUCAAGUCGGGAUGUAAAAUCUCCCGGGCUCAACUGGGAGGGACCAUGCGAUACUGUUGGGCUAGAGAGCAGCAGGGGAGGUGGAAUUCCCGGUGUAGUGGUGAAAUGCGUAGAUAUCGGGAGGAACACCAGUGGCGAAGGCGGCCUCCUGGGCUGUUUCUGACGCUGAGGCUCGAAAGCGUGGGGAGCGAACAGGAUUAGAUACCCUGGUAGUCCACGCUGUAAACGAUGGACACUAGGUAUGGGGAGUAUCGACCCUCUCCGUGCCGAAGCUAACGCUCUAAGUGUCCCGCCUGGGGACUACGGCCGCAAGGCU